CAAAGGUGAGCCAGUACAGGAUGGACCCGCGUCUGAUUAGCUAGUUGGUAAGGUAACGGCUUACCAAGGCGACGAUCAGUAGCCGACCUGAGAGGGUGAUCGGCCACAUUGGAACUGAGACACGGUCCAAACUCCUACGGGAGGCAGCAGUGGGGAAUAUUGCACAAUGGGCGAAAGCCUGAUGCAGCAACGCCGCGUGAGUGAUGAAGGCCUUCGGGUCGUAAAACUCUGUCCUCAAGGAAGAUAAUGACGGUACUUGAGGAGGAAGCCCCGGCUAACUACGUGCCAGCAGCCGCGGUAAUACGUAGGGGGCUAGCGUUAUCCGGAUUUACUGGGCGUAAAGGGUGCGUAGGCGGUCUUUCAAGUCAGGAGUGAAAGGCUACGGCUCAAUCGUAGUAAGCUCUUGAAACUGGGAGACUUGAGUGCAGGAGAGGAGAGUGGAAUUCCUAGUGUAGCGGUGAAAUGCGUAGAUAUUAGGAGGAACACCAGUUGCGAAGGCGGCUCUCUGGACUGUAACUGACGCUGAGGCACGAAAGCGUGGGGAGCAAACAGGAUUAGAUACCCUGGUAGUCCACGCUGUAAGCGAUGAGUACUAGGUGUCGGGGGUUACCCCCUUCG
rnacentral:rRNA from 1 species